rnacentral:lncRNA from 1 species
CAAUGUUUACCCGGCUUAUCUCGCCGCUCUCAAGCCCCCGUUCCUGCAGGAGCGGUGUCACCCUGGCUUCCCAAGGCCGGCAGCACGCAGCGCUCCCCACGGCAUCGGCGUGCCCUACAUUUCAGCCUGGUGCUUUAAUGAGGGGUGGCUGCAUCACGCCCCGAUGGCCCUCCUGCCUCUCCCCGCAGCGCCCAGGACGAUUACGGCAAGCAUCCUUCCCCUCCUGUGCAAUUACAGCUCUCCAGCUCUCGAAAUCCUGCCUAAAUCCGCAUGGCCGCGGCGUGACUCACCUAACGACAGCUCCCCUAAUGAAUCCUGGGUGCAUUCCUUCCAGGCUGGACGUGAUGUUAACGUGCCACUUACUAACCAGCCACCCUUCUUCGCCGUCAGCGCAGCGAGUCGAGCCAGUUCGUUCCCCUGCCCCUCCUCUGCCGCAGCGGGACGGGCGGCUGCGACCUGUCAGUGUCAGCGUCCAGGGCAUCAUUCCCUUCUGCAGAGGGGUUUCUCACUGCUGCACUGGGGCCCAGCAAUCAGCACCUGCUCCGGGAAAGGAGAAUCGCCCAUGUGCUUGUACUGGAGCCAUCAGCAGGUGCUUCCAGAUCCCAAAAGCAGCGGUGGAGGAGAUGGUGAUGGAGACAGCGCAGCCUCUGCCCCUCGCAGCUCAUGGCUGCACUCUGGCAUCACAUAGCCCAGCACUGAGCACACCAGGAGCAGGACUGGGAUCCCAGUACAGCUUCUCCAGCGGUUUCCAGCUGUGUGGCACAUCUCCCUGCACGUGGCACUGUGCCGGGCUCCUGCAGCGUGCCCAGCCUCUGCAAAUCCCCAACACCGCUUGUCCUCAAACCCAAGCAGCCCAGAGCUCCACCAGACCACAGCUUGAGGAAGCCCAUUGUCAUGCCCCGUGCCUGCCCCGUGGGGCGGUCAGCAAUGCCCUAUGGGCGGCUGCCUGGCAGCGGGGAGCUGGAGCUGUCCUGGGGAUGUGGUGUGGGUGUGCAGGUGCACGUGCCCAGCGGAUGGGGCACGGGGAUGGAGCACUCCGCAGGCACGGGGUGCUGCCCUGUAUCGAUGCAGUGCCCUUUGCAGGAUGCUCUGAGGAGGAUGCUCGGGGGCUGCGGCAUGGGGAAGCAGUGAGGCAGGGUGGGGUGACAGGACAGGACAACAAGACAAAUGUUUUGCGUCUCACCCACGUGGAGCAGAGCCUGGACUCGGCCGGGGAGCACUCCAGCUCAAUGAGCAGGGUGUCCUGCCACGUUGUCCUGGGCCAUUUCCAGGGAGCACUUGGCUAUGGGACAGCACAGCACUGAGACCAUUGCUGCAGGUUUCUCCUCGCUGCAGGACAUGCACCGGGGUCUCCCCCCCUGCUCUCCCCUUGGUUCCUGCCCAGGUGUGCAGGUCCGCCUUGCAGAGCCUUCGGGAAGGAUGAAGGAGUCUGUUCUGCUGUGUGAAAGCUGGCUGAUGAUUUCCAGCUGCAGUAUUGAUCGGGAGGGUAUUUAGCAGCCUGGAGCAUUAAGGGAUGCCCUGAACUGUUCUGAAACAUCAGCCUAGAUGGCCGUGCUUUGUGGAGAAAUGGGAAGCCUGGGUGUGCCGCCGGGCACAGCCAAAGGGCCAGCAUGAAAUAUUGGAUGUUGGGAAGGGAUGCAGAGCUCAUGGCCCCUUUCCCUCCUGCCUCAUCCUGACAGCUCCAGCAGCUCUGUCUGCACAGAUGUGCCAUGAUGCCUCAUCCCCUAAGCACAGGGAUGACCCAUCCACCAGGCUGCCAGGCCAGGGGGUGCCACCAGCCCACCACGGUCCCAGGCCAGCAAGUUGGCAUGGGGACAGCGGGGGCACAGCUCCCUCCCAAACCAGCCUGGGCAGCUCCAGGAGUCCCCACGCCAUGUGUCACCCCUCGGGAAGACACUCUAAUUGUCCCCUCGCAGGAGACGGGCUGGAAAAAGGAAGUCACGAGGAGCCGGGCUCUUUGUGAUAUCCAUCUGCUCCUCUCCGGCAGACAUCGCUCCAGGAGGCUGCGGUGCCGGAGCCGCGUGCCGGUGCCAUGUGCCGGAGCCAUGUGCCGGAGCCACGUGCCAGCCAGCGUGCGCGGUUGCCCGUGCGCCAAACCUGCUGCAGUAUGGACAGGUGAGAUAAGGAGCCGUGCACCAGCGCCCUGUGCUCCAGCCCGUCCUGCUGCACCCAGCCGGGGGGUGAUCCGGCCUCUCCUGCAUCUUGGGACACUCCUGCACGUGGGCUGCAUCCCCGUGGGGUGUUCGUGCAGGUUCCGCUCCAUGCCCUGCGAUAGAGCUCAGAGCUCUGCAAGCCCCGAAACGCUGCUAACAAAGGGCACUGCCCUCAGCACCAGGAAAACCCCAAACCUGGAAAGCAGCAGCGAUAAGGGGCUGAUGGGGCGGGGAAGGAGCGGCCGCGGCAGCGCAGUGUUUGCUCUCGGCUCACCGGCCCCAGCUGGAGCAGAGUCUGAUGGCAGGUAAUAAAUCCACCUGGCCGUGCCCUGUUCUUCGAGUA